AGUCUGAAUAAAGGUGUUAACGGCUCUUAAAGGCUUUCCUGGUUUGCAGAGGGUGCUGCCUCAAACAGAUUAUCUGGAAAUAUUAUUAGCUGGAGUGGGAAAGGGGUUUUUUUUCCUCCCGUAGGCUCUUUGCAGCAACCCUAAAUCUGCUUGAGCUGAGGAGACAGGAGGAGGAUGUGAUUAGUGUUCACUGCCAUGGAUGUCAGCUGAGGGAUGAGAACUGUGUGCCAAGAGGAGGAAAGAGCUGCCAUGGGUAGAUGAAGACUGUCCCUUUCACACACAGAACACAGUGAGCCCAAACCGGAUCCCCAUUCUCCAUGGGGACCAACUUGCAGGGAUGACGAGAGAAACAGAAUGAGUGCCCAGCUCUCCAGAGCUCAACUGCAGAGCCACAGGAUUCACCACAGCCCUCCAAGACAGCCCAUUCAAUCUCUUGACUCGGGGCUGGAAAUAGUGGCAGGAACGGAGAAUCCAUUACAGAGAACUAAAUAACCCUCAGUGCACCACUGCUGGCUCCAUAAGCACUCCUGCAGCUGCUGGGAGACUGCAGCAGCACUCCCCGGAGCAAGCAGACACAGGUGGUGCUGGCAUGUGUCUGGAAACAGCCCAACAUGACAGGAGGCUGAGAUUUCUGGCUUUUUGGGCCCUUCCCCUCUGCCAUGGGACCUCUCACCAAGCCCUGGGGUUUCCAGACAGCCCAGUGUCUGCCCCUGGUGGGCCAGAGGCUCUGGGCUCCGUGAUUUGAAGGCAGUGUUGGCAGAGCAGGGAGAUAAUCUGUUU